rnacentral:tRNA from 1 species
GCCCUAGUAGCUCAGUUUGGUAGAGCGACUGACUUGUAAUCAGUAGGUCAUGAGUUCAACUCUCAUCUAGGGCU